rnacentral:rRNA from 1 species
CCCUUAGAUGUUCUGGGCUGCACGCGCGCUACACUGAUGCGAUCAACAAGUUUUUCCUAUGUCGAUAGACACGGGUAAUCUUUUGAACUCGCAUCGUGAUGGGGAUAGAUUAUUGUAAUUAUUAAUCUUCAACGAGGAAUUCCUAGUAGGUGCAAAUCAUCAGUUUGCAUCGAUUACGUCCCUGCCCUUUGUACACACCGCCCGUCGCUGCUACCGAUUGGUUGAUCUGGUGAAUUAUUCGGACUGCCGGCUGAAGGGGUUUCCUCAUCUGCCAGCGGAAAGUCUUGGUAACCCUAUCAACUAGAGGAAGCAGAAGUCGUAACA